UGGGAACUGCAUUCGAAACUGGCAGGCUAGAGUCUUGUAGAGGGGGGUAGAAUUCCAGGUGUAGCGGUGAAAUGCGUAGAGAUCUGGAGGAAUACCGGUGGCGAAGGCGGCCCCCUGGACAAAGACUGACGCUCAGGUGCGAAAGCGUGGGGAGCAAACAGGAUUAGAUACCCUGGUAGUCCACGCCGUAAACGAUGUCGACUUGGAGGUUGUGCCCUUGAGGCGUGGCUUCCGGAGCUAACGCGUUAAGUCGACCGCCUGGGGAGUACGGCCGCAAGGUUAAAACUCAAAUGAAUUGACGGGGGCCCGCACAAGCGGUGGAGCAUGUGGUUUAAUUCGAUGCAACGCGAAGAACCUUACCUA
rnacentral:rRNA from 1 species